rnacentral:lncRNA from 10 species
AUUCUGCCCCAGCGCCCUGGAUCCUGCCUCUACCACUUCUUCCCUGCGCAGUCACUAGGGACGGACUCUGGCAGCAGAGCCGCGCUGUCGUGCCCCAGCCAGCCAGGCUCUCCUGGGAUCUGGGCUGGAAGGGGCUGCCGAGACCAUCAGUCCAAUCUUUGGUCUACAGGUGGGGAAACUGAGGCUCAAGGAAGGUCAGUGGGGGGCCAGAAGGGACCUCAUGUGUGAGAUCUGGAAGCGGGAAUUGGAGCAGCAGUUUCAUUCUGCUUCAGCUCAGGAAGCGUCUGCGGUUCCCCCACCGCUGUGAGCCAGGUUCCCCCUCCAGGCUGCUGGGCUGGGACUGAGUUACUUCUUCCCAGGCUGUAAAUCCUGGGACUGCUGUGCAAGGCAGAGUCACUAGGGACGGACUCUGGCAGCAGAGCUGCGCUCUCGUGCCCCAGCCAGCCAGGCUCUCCUGGGAUCUGGGCUGGAAGGGGCUGCCGAGACCAUCAGUCCAAUCUUUGGUCUACAGGUUGGGAAACUGAGGCUCAAGGAAGGCUCUGCGUCCUGCU